CAAUAGCGUAUAUUAAAGUUGUUGCAGUUAAAAAGCUCGUAGUUGGAUUUCUGGUAGGAGCGACCGUUCCGAACUUGAUUGUUCGUGUAUUGAGUUGUCUCCAGCCAUCCUUGUGGAGAACUUUUCUUGCAUUAAUUUGUAGGGAUCGGGACCCGCAUCGUUUACUGUGAAGAAAUUAGAGUGUUUAAAGCAGGCAAUCGCUUGAAUACAUUAGCAUGGAAUAAUAAGAUAGGACUUUGGUACUAUUUUGUUGGUUUGCAUACCAAAUUAAUGAUCAACAGGAACAGUUUGAGGAUAUUCGUAUGAACAUGUCAGAGGUGAAAUUCUUGGAUUUUGAUCAGACGAACUACUGCGAAAGCAUUUAUCAAGGAUGUUUUCAUUAA
rnacentral:rRNA from 1 species